GGAGGAAUAUUGGACAAUGGAGGCAACUCUGAUCCAGCCAUGCCGCGUGAAGGACUAAGGCCCUAUGGGUCGUAAACUUCUUUUGACGCAGAGCAAUAAGGAUUACGUGUAGCCUGAUGAGAGUAUCGGACGAAUAAGCAUCGGCUAACUCCGUGCCAGCAGCCGCGGUAAUACGGAGGAUGCGAGCGUUAUCCGGAUUUAUUGGGUUUAAAGGGUGCGUAGGUGGUUUGUUAAGUUUGUGGUGAAAGCGUGCGGCUCAACCGUACCAAGCCAUGAAAACUGGCGAACUUGAGUGCAAACGAGGUAGGCGGAAUGUGAUGUGUAGCGGUGAAAUGCUUAGAUAUGUCACAGAACCCCGAUUGCGAAGGCAGCUUACCAGCAUGCAACUGACACUGAGGCACGAAAGCGU
rnacentral:rRNA from 1 species